UAAUUCAAUACUGAAACCCAGCAUUGUCACCAAGAUCAUGGAGGAGUUGGAGGAGGAAGAGAGUGGAGAUCAGUUUGAGCUGAACAUCGCAGUCACUAAUCCAGAGAAAAUUGGUUUGUAUUAUGCAACUUAUUUUUCAACGUGAAAGAGAUGGCAUGAAUGCCUACAUGUCUUACAAAGUGUCGACUCAGACUACACUGGUCAUGUUCCCUGAUAAGAUGUUCUCAGUGCGUCGACGUUUCAGUGAUUUUCUGGGACUUUAUGAGAAGAUAUCAGUCAAACACUCCCUGCUGGGUUGCAUCAUUCCACCUCCACCUCAGAAGAGUGUAGUGGGUAUAAAAGCUCUCAUGCUCACUCUGGCUCCAUGGAGUUAUUCUAGUGAGCUCAUCUAUACCCCUGUUCCACCAAGGCAGUUUGAGUGCUGGAUCGGAGCCAGAGCCUAGUUUCAGAUCGGUUCUUUGUCUUUUGACAACCAAAGCACCAUCUCCGAACCAGGAAAAGUGGUUAGGAUGACUAAAGUGAAGGUGGGGAAGGAGGAUUCAUCCUCGGCAGAGUUUGUGGAAAAGAGACAAGCAGCACUGGAGAGGUCCCCAGCCCGGGAUCGACCCUGCAAUCAAUCCCGGGAUGUGUUUGCAUUCAUACAGAAGGCACCCUGGCAAUUUCCAGUAUGAAAGGGGAUAUAGACAGUCACGAGGAUUAAAGACAGUAAAUAUGGACAAAUACAGAAAAUAGUGU